CUGCGAAUGGCUCAUUAUAUAAGUUAUCGUUUAUUUGAUAGUACCUUACUACUUGGAUAACCGUGGUAAUUCUAGAGCUAAUACAUGCUAAAAAUCCCGACUUCGGAAGGGAUGUAUUUAUUAGAUUAAAAACCAAUGCCCUCUGGGCUCCUUGGUGAUUCAUAAUAACUUUUCGAAUCGCAUGGCCUUGCGCCGGCGAUGGUUCAUUCAAAUUUCUUCCCUAUCAACUUUCGAUGUUUGGGUAUUGGCCAAACAUGGUCGCAACGGGUAACGGAGGGUUAGGGCUCGACCCCGGAGAAGGAGCCUGAGAAACGGCUACUACAUCCAAGGAAGGCAGCAGGCGCGCAAAUUACCCAAUCCCGAUUCGGGGAGGUAGUGACAAUAAAUACUGAUACAGGGCUCUUUUGGGUCUUGUAAUUGGAAUGAGUACAAUUUAAAUCCCUUAACGAGGAACAAUUGGAGGGCAAGUCUGGUGCCAGCAGCCGCGGUAAUUCCAGCUCCAAUAGCGUAUAUUAAAGUUGUUGUGGUUAAAAAGCUCGUAGUUGAACCUUGGGCCUGGCUGGCCGGUCCGCCUCACCGCGUGUACUGGUCCGGCCGGGCCUUUCCCUCUGUGGAACCUCAUGCCCUUCACUGGGUGUGGCGGGGAAACAGGACUUUUACUUUGAAAAAAUUAGAGUGCUCCAGGCAGGCCUAUGCUCGAAUACAUUAGCAUGGAAUAAUAAAAUAGGACGUGUGGUUCUAUUUUGUUGGUUUCUAGGACCGCCGUAAUGAUUAAUAGGGACAGUCGGGGGCAUCAGUAUUCAAUUGUCAGAGGUGAAAUUCUUGGAUUUAUUGAAGACUAACUACUGCGAAAGCAUUUGCCAAGGAUGUUUUCAUUAAUCAGGAACGAAAGUUAGGGGAUCGAAGACGAUCAGAUACCGUCGUAGUCUUAACCAUAAACUAUGCCGACUAGGGAUCGGACGAUGUUAUUUUUUGACGCGUUCGGCACCUUACGAGAAAUCAAAGUGCUUGGGCUCCAGGGGGAGUAUGGUCGCAAGGCUGAAACUUAAAGAAAUUGACGGAAGGGCACCACCAGGGGUGGAGCCUGCGGCUUAAUUUGACUCAACACGGGGAAACUCACCAGGUCCAGACACAAUGAGGAUUGACAGAUUGAGAGCUCUUUCUUGAUUUUGUGGGUGGUGGUGCAUGGCCGUUCUUAGUUGGUGGAGUGAUUUGUCUGCUUAAUUGCGAUAACGAACGAGACCUUAACCUGCUAAAUAGCCCGUAUUGCUUUGGCAGUACGCCGGC
rnacentral:rRNA from 2 species